UUUCUCUUGAUUCUUGCUCUUGUUUUUCUCUUUUUAAUCCCUCAACUCUAUAUUUGCUUGUCUCUUCCCAUAACCUCUUAAGAUUUUCUAGAAACUCACUUUCCCUACGAGAGAACCCACUUAAAUUGUUAAUGAAUGACUGACCUUCUCUAAUAAGUUCUCUCAUAAGUUCUAAGUUUCUUUGAGAUUCUGGAGGCACAAACUUUCUUCUCCAACAAGCUUUCAAUUCUUUCCAAUUAUGGAUGGGAAAUUUUCUACCUACCCUAACAUGGUAUUGUCUUUCUUCCCACCACUCUCU
rnacentral:lncRNA from 1 species